rnacentral:rRNA from 1 species
GUUUGAUUGUAGAUUCGCGCUGGGGCGCUUUGCCCUUUGUUUCGGCCUGUAUAAUACACGGACCGGCCCGUUUACUUGUCUUUCUGUUGGAGCGUUGUCUAAUGCUUGGGGCCGGCCUGGAUUCGUGCGAGCAUGUCGCUUUUUUGUAGGCUGGGGCAAAGUGCUGGGGGUGCAGUAAAUAAAGGGGGUGAAGAGGAUGUGGGACUCGUGGUAAUUAAGAGGAGGGGAACGGCAAGUCAGUUCAUUUCUUCCUUCUCUCUCUAUUCUUCUCUGUCAAAUCUGAAGAUCUGCAGCGGAACGAAGAAAUCGAUGUGCUCCUCCACGGCCAGCGAGAGAACAGGCGGUGCUGCUGAUGGAAUAAGUGCCACCCCCUCCUUUUCUUGUUGUUUGUUUUGUUGGCGAGAUGUAGUAGAUCUGAGGGGAUUUUGGGUUUCAUUUUUUGUUUGGAUCAAGUCCAGAUUAGGAGCUUGAAGCAUAGAAUCGCUCCCCCUUUUUAAUCAAACAGUGGCAUGUAGUGUGUCCUCUUUUUUGUAUGAUUUUUCUUUUAGACUUUUGCCGAAUCCAUUUUCGUGAAAUCAGUAGCAUGUUUGAGGAUUAUUACGUACUGAACCCAAACCCUCUCAUAUCUAUUACUGAACCUAUCACUAGGAGUGGCUCAGUCCCUUGUUUUGUUUUAUUUUAUAUUUUGCUGAAACCCAUUUAAUCAAUAGCAUGUUUUUGAAAUCUUUUCUCUGUAUACGAGAGAGAUUAUUACUGAAUCUAUCACUAGGAGUGGGCAUGUUUAUUUGUUUUGUCAUAUUUUUUGUUGAACCCCUAUUAAUAAGUAGCAGUAGCAUGUUUUUUCAGUUUUCUUGCUGAAACCCUAUGAAUCAGUACCAUGUUCAAUUUUUUUGUCUGGGAUCAAGAUAAUGAUUACUAAAUGCAUCACUAGCAGUGGUAUGUCGAUUUCUUCCAUGUGUUCACACAUUUUUUGUUUUAAUUUGGUCUUUUGAUAGAUUCAUCUUUUUAUCUCUGCAACCCAAUGUAAAUAUAUUUUUGCUCAUCAGCCGUCGAUGCCAAUGAUAAAUCAUCAUUAUCUUGAAAUCCUUUUUUUAAGCAUGCAAGUUUCUCACUAAAAUCAUUAGCUGAAUAUGUAUGCCUCGCACUAGCACAAAUUUAUCUUUGGCACCAUUUUUAUGUGCACAGGAGAUGGUUUGCACAGUUUGUCUGAGCCCUUGUUGACCGCGAGAGCAGGGGAAGCGGCAUCAGUAUGUAUGUCUGGAAGGAGUUCAAGAAGGGAGGGGGAAUGGUGUGCCCAGUUUACCACGCAUACUGCCAAAAUGAAAAUGGUCGGAGAUUCGACAUCUAUGUCUGUGAUGCCAACGGAAUCUUUCCCGCUCUCAUGGAUGCCCACAAGCAGAUUGCACGCAAGAUAGAAACUAAAACCGAGGCCUCCUUGAAAGAAGGAGCAGUUGUUAUGAGUCUUAUCAUCAAUUCUUAUUUUCACACGGGAUCCUAGAGAAGGCUAAAGCUGAAACAAGAGAUUGGCUUAACAGUGUGAUGACCCAACUUUAUACUAACUUUAGUAGAAAGUUGGGUCAUCAAUUUUGGAACGGAGGGAGUACAUUUUUAUGAAUACAGCCACACACAGGUACAAAUAUUGAAGACGAAGACAGAGAGCAGGGUCUUGAAGAUACAAAUUUAGAAGAGAGAGAUCACUGACACUGAAGUAUCAGAGGGUUUGCUGUAUGAAGAAGUUGUGACGUUGUAUGAAGCAUUAGAGAAGGAACCAAGACCUGGCAGAGUUGUUUAGCUACACAAAUGGGCCUUACAUUUUUCUGCUGUCUUUUUGUUGCGUCCAUGGACAGGGAGGAAGGUAAAACGGGCUAAACAAACAGACAACACACAAGAAAAAACAAAACAAAAAGCCCACACCCCAAGCCCACCACAUGGGAAGUUAAAACCCAACAGUGAGGGAGGUGAAACAGGCCUCAGCUGACUGAGACUUCGCGAAGUCUCAGUCGACUGAGAUCUAGACAGACUCUAAACUUUAACCAUUAAAUCACGUAGCCGUCACCUCCUUUCCCACACUUGAGGUUUUUCUCGCGUCCCGCCGAUGCCGGUUCGCCUCGUCUCCGGUGGGCCUUACGUCCAUAGAGGCGUGGUGGAUACCGAUCCUUGCCGGUGUGAGGGUUCAGUUUUUAGAUGUUACUUUGAGUUUUGUUAGGGUUUGUGUCCUAUUCAAGAAGACGAGACUGCGGAUGCUUCCUGAAGAUGGAAUAAGGUUCUCUCUGGUUAGCCUCGUUCCCGUGGUGCAUCUAGCACCGUCGGUGUGCGUGUGCAGAUGUGUCUCCGGCGGAUCUAUCUUUGGUGGAGCUGCUCGGAUCUGUUCGUCGUUCGUCUACGUUCAUGUUUCUUCAGGUUGAAUCCUUUUGAUUUACGCUACUCUUUAUCUGCGAUAGUUGCUGUUCUGGUGCGCUGAUUCUAUGGGGCCUUAUCACGAUGACUUCCCGACUGUCUAUUACACAAGUUUUAGCCGGCUCCGACAAGGGAAGGGCGAUGACGACGACGCGUCUUUGGCUCGCUUCAGUUCUUCUAGUCGUCGCAGGGUGGUCUAUAAAUCUGGAUGUAAUUUUUGUUAUUUCUUGUGUUCAUUGUACUGUCAAUGUCAAGAUGAGAAAAACUAACUAACAAAAAUAAGUUAUAUACCAGUAGAAUAUUAUCAUUGGAAGUCUCUUUUGACUAUGAAUCCAACACUAUAACUUUUGUGACAUACAAAGUAUAUUUUCAUAUUUUGUUAGGGCACGAAAUACAAAUGGACCAGUCAACCGGACGGAGGUAAUACGUUGCAAACGGUCUGGCCCAGUCGGACCCUUGUGCGUGCGUGGCCUCGCUAUUGGACGCAACGAGCGUCCAAUAGAAUCUCCCCAACCCAAUCCUUGCACCUGCUACUACUACGUGUCUUCUCCUUGAACCACGUUCUUUAUCUUACCUCGAGCGAGGCAACCGGCAGCAGCCUCCGAUGCCAAGGGCCAGUGGGCGCGCGAUGCACCAGCUUCCCCUGGCCGCGCGGCCGCCGGCGCCGCGGUCUCACUGUUCUCGGAGUAGGUCGGCGUGCCGCUGCAGCCUGAAGCAGGCGCCUGCCUCUCUCGCCGUGGCCGCAAGACGGUGCGCGGCCGCGCCGCUCUUGGCCGCGUCGCUCCUCCUCGCCGCCGCCGCGACUCCUGGCAUUCCUGCCGGUACUCCACCAGCGUUUGCCCAAUCCCAAGGCGCGGCGCUGUUCCGGAAGGCGUGCAUCGGGUGCCACGACACGGGUGGGAACAUCCUACAGCCGGUGAGUUUGCUGAAAUCCCUUGCACGGUCGUAACGACUGUAAAUUCCAGGUUCAGAUCAUCGUCUGUUUGCUCCUUGAUCAUGUCCAGGGAGCCACCCUCUCCAUGAAGGAUCUUGAGAGGAAUGGAGUUGCCACGGAGGAAGAGAUAUACAACAUUACUUAUUACGGGAAGGGAAGGAUGCCGGGUUAUGGAGAGCAAUGCACGCCGAGAGGGCGGUGUACCUUCGGCCCCCGGCUGCCUGAAGACGAUAUCAAGAUGCUUGCAGCAUUUGUCAAAUCGCAAGCAGAGAACGGGUGGCCAAAGAUCGACGGUGAUGUCGAGUGAUCCGAUUACGGCUGAACACGAGGAGCUAGCUCCAUUUCGCGAGGAGGCUGAAACCAUAACUGUUUAUGAGGUUAAUAUUUUUUUUGACUCGCAAGCAAACCGUAGAACAAUUGUUCUAAAUAAUUUUACAUUAAUAAAAUGAAAAUAGUUAUUCACGCAGACGAAGAUUAAAGUAUCUACAGCCGAAUUUGGCAAAUCCGACCCCUCAAACACAUGCGGACGGGUGCGUCCGCGGACAGUGACCGGCCACCUCUCAAAAAACGCAUUCCACAUUCGGAUACCUCAAAUUAAAAACCUCAAAUCCAUAUUAUUACAUGCAACGUGAAAUCUAAUCUACGUGGAGCUCAUCCGGUUUCACUCCCCGCUCGCCGGCUCCGCCCUAGCCAUGUCCGGCGGCCGGCUGCGCUCCUCAGAGUGUUGGGCCGGUCACCGGCAAGGUAGGGUAGGGCAUGAGACACGAGCUGGCUCACGGGACUCAAGGCCCCGUCGUCUUCCAUGCCCUACUCUUUCUCGCGGAGACCGGUACCCAAACGGUGUUGUUGGACGUCAGAGCGAUGAUGAAUUCAUCUGGGGACGAGCCGCCGACGUCCACCACAAUGCGGUUGCGGCGCCCGGACUGAUGCGCCAUACGGUGCGCCGGAGAAUGCGACUCCGCCUCGCCGACAUCCGUCGCCGCGAGGGCUGCUGCCACCUCCCACACCCGGUGCCUUGCAUGGCGGGCACGCCGUGCCAUGGCCUCGUCGGACGAGGCCCAUGGUGCGUCUCGAUACUCGGCGCGUCACCGGAGGGGUUGCGCGUCCGCCAACGCAUUCGGACGCUGAUACGUCUCCAAUAUAUCUACAAUUUUUGAUUGUUCCAUGUUAUUAUAUUAUUUGUUUUGGAUGUUUUAUAUGCAUUAAUAUGCUAUUUUAUACUCCCUCCGUCCAAAAAUACUUGUCAUCAAAAUGGAUAAAAAGGGAUGUAUCUAAAACUAAAAUACGUCUAGAUACAUCCUCUUUUAUUCAUUUUGAUGAUAAGUAUUUCCGGACGGAGGGAGUAUGACUUUGGGGACUAACCUAUUAACCUAGAGCCCAGUGCCACUUCCUGUUUUUUUCCUUAUUUUAGAGUUUCGCAGAAAAGGAAUACCAAACGAAGUCCAAAUGGAAUGAAACUUUCACGAUGAUUUUUCUUGGACCAUAAGACACCCAGAGGACUUGGAGUGCACGUCGGGAAAGUCAUGAGGCUACCAUAAGGACGAAGGGCACGCCCCCCACCCUUGUGGGCCCCUCGUGACUCCACCGACCUAUUUCUUCCGCCUAUAUAUUCUCAAAUAUUCCAAAACCUAUAAGGGGAGCCACGAAAACACCUUUCCGCCAUCGCAACCUUCUAUACCCAUGAGAUCCCAUCUAGGGGCCUUUCCCGGUGUCCUGUCGGAGGGGGAUUCGAUCACAGAGGGCUUCUACAUCAACAUCAUUGCCUCUCCGAUGAAGCGUGAGUAGUUUACGUCAGACCUAAGGGUCCAUAACUAGUAGCUAGAUGGCUUCUUCUCUCUCUUUGAUUCUCAAUACCAUGUUCUCCUCGAUGUUUUUGGAGAUCUAUUCGAUGUAAUACUCUUUUGCGGUGUGUUUGCCGAGAUCCAAUGAAUUGUGUAUUUAUGAUCAGCUUAUCUAUGAAUAUUAUUUGAAUCUCCUCUGAAUUCUUAUAUGCA